AGGUGGAAGACAUCUAACAGAAUGGCAGAUACAGUGGCGAAGACUUUGUUGGAGCAGAACAUUACUGUAUACCUGUAUGUGUCAAGAGAAAUAGCUAGACAUCUUCUUGACAGCCAAUGAUAGGAACUGCAUGUGUACAGGUCAAUGGCAAAGCUGACUGCUACCACACAGCCCACAGUAUCUCUAAGGCAACACAAUGCAAUUGGGAUGGAGCUGGAAGCUGUUCAAUUUGGUGACCAACAUCAUCAUUGAAAAUGGCAAUGCCUCCGUCUUUUCUCCAAUGAUUCCAGCGGUGGCCAGAUCUUUUGCAGGAUGAACAGCGACAUUGACAGCGCAGCACAGUGCAGAGACUUUGUCCAGUGUGACAUAGAAAGGAUAUCGGCAUCAAACAUUGUCCAGCCUCCAACCAAUCAGGAGAACUACUUUUUUCUGAAUCCCUACACCUGUCUGCUCACAGUGCAAAUAUAGCCUGCAAGACCUUCCUCUCAGACCAUUUGUACAUCACGGCGCAAGUCACACGUAUCCUCUUCAAGAAUACACAAUCAUCUUAGUCUGUUCCAGCCUGCAAGAUCUUCCUCCCAUACCAUUUGUACAUCACGGCGCAAGUCACACGCGUGCUCUUCAAGAAUAGGCAAUCACCUUAGUCUGUUCCAGCCUGCAAGAUCUUCCACUAGACCACCUUUACAUUAUCAUUGCAGAACGGAGCCUGGUGGGUGCUGUCCAAUUUCGGAGAGCAGUGCUGAGAGCAGACAUGAGACCAGCACCCGUCGGCUGAAAUCCCCCGCCAAUCCCAAAAGAUGGCCAAGAAAGACCUUCUACUGCAUCAACAGGGAAAAGGCCAGGAUUACGAUACAAGUGCAGAGACUAGAGAUGUGCCUACCACUCCCCCGCCAUCGAAUAUGAAAUGUAUAAAUGAAUUAUACAUGCAGCCUGAUUAUUAUGCAUUUGAACUUAAA